UGGGCAGGGACACGGGCAGAUGUCCCCACCUGUGACGGUCCCAGGAAGGGACAACCUAAAGUCCAUCAGGGCUUCCCACAAAUCCCCAGGAUGCAGCAGCAGAUCCCAGCUCCUGUGGGACACCAAAGGCAGGAGCAGGGCCUUGGGGCAGUCCCCAGGCUGGGGUUUCUCCACCAGCAGGAACAAAUCCAUUGGGAACGGGAGCAAGCGUGCAGCUGGGGGGAAUCCGGGAGCAGAGGGAGACGAGCGGCUCCGGAGCCUUGGGAGGUGAAAUCCCUUCUUCUUUUAUGAAGGAUUUAUCAAGUUUGGGUUGAAAGCACCGAGGAAGAUUCCCUGUUUGGAUAAGCCUCUGGCUUGUGCUGGAUUAACGUCCCGGGCUGGGAACUGGAGGAUGCUCGGGAAGAUCAAAAUGAGGAGCUGCAAACCGAGCCGUGAGGAGAAGCGACCCCUCUGCUUUUCCAGGGCCAGGAAUUCCAGGAUUGUCAGACAACAUUUCCUGACCCAGAGAGGAUGAAUCCCAGCACUGCUGCAGGGCAGACACCUGGAGCUGCAGCAGCUCCACAGCUGAGCUUCCCAGCCAAGGAUUGCCAUGGAAUAAAGCAAUUCCCAGCUGCUGA